rnacentral:rRNA from 1 species
AUUGAACGCUGGCGGCAUGCUUUACACAUGCAAGUCGAACGGCAGCGCGGGGCAACCUGGCGGCGAGUGGCGAACGGGUGAGUAAUACAUCGGAACGUACCCAGAAGUGGGGGAUAACGUAGCGAAAGUUACGCUAAUACCGCAUACGUUCUACGGAGGAAAGUGGGGGAUCUUCGGACCUCAUGCUUUUGGAGCGGCCGAUGUCUGAUUAGCUAGUUGGUGAGGUAAAGGCUCACCAAGGCGACGAGCAGUAGCUGGUCUGAGAGGACGACCAGCCACACUGGGACUGAGACACGGCCCAGACUCCUACGGGAGGCAGCAGUGGGGAAUUUUGGACAAUGGGCGCAAGCCUGAUCCAGCAAUGCCGCGUGAGUGAAGAAGGCCUUCGGGUUGUAAAGCUCUUUUGUCAGGGAAGAAACGGCUGGGGCUAAUAUCCCCGGCUAAUGACGGUACCUGAAGAAUAAGCACCGGCUAACUACGUGCCAGCAGCCGCCGUAA